UACGUAGGGUGCAAGCGUUGUCCGGAAUUAUUGGGCGUAAAGAGCUCGUAGGCGGUCUGUCGCGUCGGCUGUGAAAACUCGGGGCUCAACCCCGAGCCUGCAGUCGAUACGGGGCAGACUAGAGUGCUGUAGGGGAGACUGGAAUUCCUGGUGUAAGCGGUGGAAAUGCGCAGAUAUCAGGAGGAACACCGGUGGCGAAGGCGGGUCUCUGGGCAGUAACUGACGCUGGAGGAGCGAAAGCGUGGGGAGCGAACAGG
rnacentral:rRNA from 1 species